UCCACCUCUGUCACAGCGAUCGAGUCUAGAA
rnacentral:piRNA from 1 species